ACAGGGGACCAAGCCUACCCCGGGGAUGGAAAAAUCCGGCUGAGACGGCCUGGGCCGCUGCCACGUGCGGGCGCUAUUCUCCACCCACCUGCGGCCUGAAGAUGCCUGAGGCCCGGACUCUCAGACCCCUAUUGCCCUUUGGUGCUGGAGGCCCAGCGGCAGCCUGAAGCCCAAGAGAGUGGAGCCUCGCGAAAUGAGGAACCUGGCACAAGGUUUGCUUGGAAGCAGGAACGACGGAGUGUGGCUACGUGCCCUAUUUGCCAUUAACGCUUUCUUGCAUGGCAGUGAGAGAUGAGGGCAAGGGAGGUGGCAUAAUGCUCCCGGCCGCUUGGGACUCGGAGAGACGGCAUUUAAUAAAUCACACGCGGUAUUUGCGAAACAGUGGUCGAGAUUCGUCUUCCCGGGUUCAUUGCGUCAUUAAUAGGCGGGAACAGUGCCCCUGUGUUGAGGCUGCAGAGGCCCUAAUUGGUUUUCCCAAGACAGAGGGGCAUAUGAAAUUGAACAAAUAUUUGUUGAAUCAAUGAACAAAGGGAACGCCUUUUAGGGAUGUUUCUGGGGGAAAGGCCUAAGGUUCUCCAGGAGGGUCUGCAGCUAGGGUCGGCCGUGGGGGCUCGCAGCCCGCGGGACCACCGGACCUGCAAGCGUCCCCCUGCCCCGCCCCCGCCUCGGCGCUCUGAGCAAUUGGACUCUGCCAGCUCUAACUCCGGCGGGACUCUGAAACUCAGGCAAGAGCCGAGGUGUUCUGGACUUGGAAGAUUUGUUGAAUUACUAUGAAGUCACAUCUAAAGUUUGAAAGAGACGGGGUCUCACUAUUUUGCCCACGCUGGUCUUGAACUCCUGUCCUCAAGCAGGAUAUCCUCCUGCCUUGGGCUCCCAAAGUUCUGGGAUUACAGUCUCGCUCUGUCACCAGGCUGGAGUGCACGCUGGAGCGCGAUCUUGUCUUACUACAACCUCUGCCUCCCAGAUUCAAGCGAUUUUCCUGCCUCAGCCUCCCGAGUAGCUGGGACUACAGGGAUGCACCACCAUGCCCAGCUAAUUUUUGUAUUUGUAGCAGAGAUGGGGUUUCACCAUGUUGGCCAGGAUGGUCUUGAUCUCUUGACCUCGCGAUCCACCCGCCUCGGCUUCCCAAAGUGCUGGGAUUAUAGGCAUAAGCCACCACACCUGGCCUGAAGUUAUUUUUCUAUACAGUUCUUAGAGGAAGUGUUUGGGUCACCUACAUAGGCAUGUAGUUCUCGACACUGGUUACUAGAGGAUUUACAGAGGAUGUUCAUAUAUUCAACAAGCAUUUGUUGAAUACCUAUUAGGUGCUAGCCAUGGAAAUAUGGGAUUGAAAAAAACAGACAAAAAUCCCUAACUCUCUUACAAUCUAGUGAGGACAAUCAGACAGUAAACAAAAUAAGCAUAAUAUAUAGUAAUCAUGUGGUAGUAAGUUCUAUAGAGCAAAAACAAGUUUAAAGAAGGAGGUUGGGGGGAGUGUUGAGAUGCGUAAGGUUUGCAGUUAUAAAUGUGGUGGUUAGGGAAUCAUUUGCUGAAAAAUGAACAUUGAGCAAAAACCUGAAGGAUGUUAAAGGAAUAAGAUACAUGUAAUCCAGAUGAAAGUUUUUUGGAUAAAGGAAAGAGCAAUUGCUAAAUCCCUGAGGUGGGAGUGGGCUGUUCAUAAGACAGCAAAGCAGCCAGGGUAGCUGAGUGAUUGACAGCGGAAGAUGGAAAAUGGGGAAUAGUUGGUGUAGGACCUAGUUUUGAGGAUAUUGACUUUUUUUUUUUUCCAAGACAGAGUUGUGCUCUGUUGCCCAGGCUAGAGUGCAGUGGCAUGAUCUUGGCUCACUGCAAUCUCCGCCUCCCGGGUUCAAGCAAUGCUCCUGCCUUAGCCUCCCCAGUAGCUGGGAUUACAGGCACCUGCCACCAUGUCCAGUUAAUUUUUGUAUUUUUAGUAGAGGUGGGGUUUCGCCAUGUUAGCCAGGCUGGUCUUGGACUCCUGACCUCAAGUGAUCUGCCCGCCUCAGCCUCCCAAAGUGCUGGGAUUACAGGCGUGAGCCACCAUGCCCACCCUAGGAUAUUUACUUUUAUUUUGAAUAAGGAUGCCACUGGAGGCCGGACGUGGUGGCUAACGCCUAUAAUCCCAGCACUUUGGGAGGAUGAGGCGGGUGGAUUACGAGGUUAGGAGAUUGAGACCAUCCUGGCCAACAUGGUGAAACCCCGUCUCUACUAAAAAAAAAAAAAAAAUUUGCCAGGUUUGGUUGCAUGCGCCUGUAGUCCCAGCUACUCAGGAGGCUGAGGAAGGAGAAUCACUUGAACCCGGGAGGUGGAGGUUGCAGUGAGCCGAGAUCGCCCCACUGUACUGCAGCCUGGGUGACAGAGCAAGACUCUGUCUCAAAAAAAAAAAAAAAAAAAGAAAAUGCCACUGGAGAGCUUUGAGGAGAGGAUCAGUCUGGCUACUGGGUUGAGAAUUAAUCAUAGCAGGCAAAGGCAAAAGAAGUGAGGUUAGUUAGGAGGCUUUACAACAACCCAGAUGAGAGAUGGGAGGUUUUAGCCAGGGAGAUGGAGAUGUUGAGAGAGUAGCUGGACUCAGGAUUGUGACAGAGGACUGAAGGAAAAGCAGGUUUUGGGGGAAGAUUGCAUUUCUCCCUUCAACUUCAGUUACGUAGAUCACCCAUAUGCCACACAACUGCAACUCUGUAACAGCCAAUUUUUAGCUUCUUCCUUAUCUAAGCCAUCCUGUAGGCCAUAGGAAUUAAAACUAGGUUGGAUCAAGGAAAAGUGAAUGCUAGAUCCAUACAAAACUAUUUGGAUAUUUGCCUUUGUAUUUUAUUGUUUCGAAAUUAUUUUUAAUGGUUCAAUAAACUCUUACUAGAACUACAAGCAAUAUAAUUAUUUCCUCUGCUUUAUUAGAAAUGUUUUUGUAAUCAUGUUAAUUAUAUUACUUUUAACUAUAUAAGGCUUGUGUCUCUUUUUUAUAAAUUGAUGUUUAUAUCCUCUGUAAGAUAAAUAUAAAGCCUUUUUGUUCAUAUGAGGAUGUGCUGUAAGAUUGCAGGGAGUAUAAAAAUUGGCAGUGGAGUAGCUGACUUGUAUUAUUAGUCUGAUCUUAAUGUUGUAACAUACUGAUCAUGCAAAAUAUAUAGUUUGUUUUUGCUAUUUAAUACAUGUAGGACUGUAACAAACAGACUAGAGAAGAUGGCCAUAAGGUACAAGAAAGCAAGUAAAUUACUAUCUAAUUAAAGUAUUUGAUUCUAAUACUAGCAGAGUUCUGUCUAGAAAAUAAAUUAACUUUCUGUAUGCUUUU